UCCAGCCUGCCCAGUGACAAAGUUAAACGGCCGCGGUACCCUAACCGUGCGAAGGUAGCGCAAUCACUUGUUCUUUAAAUGAGGACUAGUAUGAAUGGCAUCACGAGGGUUAUACUGUCUCCCCCUUUUAAUCAGUGAAACUGAUCUUCCCGUGAAGAAGCGGGAAUAUAUCUAUAAGACGAGAAGACCCCAUGGAGCUUAAAACUCAGUAUCAGCUGCCCUCUAAUAUAUCCUCUUAAUUAGGCAGACUUGACUACUAGUUUUCGGUUGGGGUGACCGCGGAGCAAAACAAAACCUCCACGAUGAAAGGAACUAACUUCCUAAUCAAAGAACCACAUUUCUAUGAAUCAACAAAUUGACAUUUAUUGAUCCAAUUUUUUUGAUCAACGAACCAAGUUACCCUGGGGAUAACAGCGCAAUCCAUUUCAAGAGCCCCUAUCGACAAAUGGGUUUACGACCUCGAUGUUGGAUCAGGGUAUCCCAGUGGUGCAGCCGCUACUAAAGGUUCGUUUGUUCAACGAUUAAAACCCUACGUGAUCUGA
rnacentral:rRNA from 1 species